UCCUGGCUCAGAUUGAACGCUGGCGGCAUGCUUUACACAUGCAAGUCGAACGGUAACAGGGAGCUUGCUCCGCUGACGAGUGGCGAACGGGUGAGUAAUAUAUCGGAACGUACCCAAGAGUGGGGGAUAACGUAGCGAAAGUUACGCUAAUACCGCAUACGAUCUAAGGAUGAAAGCAGGGGAUCUUCGGACCUUGUGCUCCUGGAGCGGCCGAUAUCUGAUUAGCUAGUUGGUGAGGUAAAGGCUCACCAAGGCGACGAUCAGUAGCUGGUCUGAGAGGACGACCAGCCACACUGGAACUGAGACACGGUCCAGACUCCUACGGGAGGCAGCAGUGGGGAAUUUUGGACAAUGGGCGCAAGCCUGAUCCAGCAAUGCCGCGUGAGUGAAGAAGGCCUUCGGGUUGUAAAGCUCUUUUGUCAGGGAAGAAACGGGAGUGGCUAAUAUCCAUUCUUAAUGACGGUACCUGAAGAAUAAGCACCGGCUAACUACGUG
rnacentral:rRNA from 1 species